AAUGAACGUUGGCGGCGUGGAUUAGGCAUGCAAGUCGAGCGAGAACCGUAGCAAUACGGGGACAGCGGCGAAAGGGACAGUAAUGUGUAGGUACCUACCCCUGGGUUCGGGAUAGCUGCGGGAAACUGCAGGUAAUACCGAAUAACGUCUACGGACCAAAGGUGUGAUUCCACCUGGGGAGGGGCCUGCAUCCUAUUAGCUUGUUGGCGGGGUAAUGGCCCACCAAGGCAACGAUGGGUAGCGGGUGUGAGAGCACGACCCGCGUCAUUGGGACUGAGAUACUGCCCAGACACCUACGGGUGGCUGCAGUCGAGGAUCUUCGGCAAUGGGCGAAAGCCUGACCGAGCGACGCCGCGUGCGGGAUGAAGGCCUUCGGGUUGUAAACCGCUGUCGUAGAGGAGGAAAUGCAGGGGGGUUCUCCCCUUUGCUUGACCUAUUCUAGGAGGAAGUACGGGCUAAGUUCGUGCCAGCCGCCGCAGUAA
rnacentral:rRNA from 1 species